AAGCCUGAUGCAGCGACGCCGCGUGAGGGAUGACGGCCUUCGGGUUGUAAACCUCUUUCAGUAGGGAAGAAGCGAAAGUGACGGUACCUGCAGAAGAAGCACCGGCUAACUACGUGCCAGCAGCCGCGGUAAUACGUAGGGUGCGAGCGUUAUCCGGAAUUAUUGGGCGUAAAGAGCUCGUAGGCGGUUUGUCGCGUCUGUCGUGAAAGUCCGGGGCUUAACCCCGGAUCUGCGGUGGGUACGGGCAGACUAGAGUGCAGUAGGGGAGACUGGAAUUCCUGGUGUAGCGGUGGAAUGCGCAGAUAUCAGGAGGAACACCGAUGGCGAAGGCAGGUCUCUGGGCUGUAACUGACGCUGAGGAGCGAAAGCAUGGGGAGCGAACAGGAUUAGAUACCCUGGUAGUCCAUGCCGUAAACGUUGGGCACUAGGUGUGGGGACCAUUCCACGGUUUCCGCGCCGCAGCUAACGCAUUAAGUGCCCCGCCUGGGGAGUACGGCCGCAAGGCUAAAACUCAAAGGAAUUGACGGGGGCCCGCACAAGCGGCGGAGCAUGCGGAUUAAUUCGAUGCAACGCGAAGAACCUUACCAAGGCUUGACAUGUUCUCGAUCGCCGUAGAGAUACGGUUUCCCCUUUGGGGCGGGUUCACAGGUGGUGCAUGGUUGUCGUCAGCUCGUGUCGUGAGAUGUUGGGUUAAGUCCCGCAACGAGCGCAACCCUCGUUCCAUGUUGCCAGCACGU
rnacentral:rRNA from 1 species